CUAAUUUAAUAAAAGAAAUAAAAGAUAGAAAAAGAGAAAUGGAAACAGAACAGGCAAACGAAAACAGGGGAGAAAGGAAAGAAAAAAAAAAAGGGAAGGAAAGAAAGAAAAUUUGGGGUUUCAAGGUUUCAAGCUCAAUUGCUAAUGUCGUGCAAGAGUCAUUGCCGAGAAAGGAAAG